rnacentral:lncRNA from 1 species
GCAGUGGUCUCUGAGCCUUGGAGAGGGAUUUCGACAUAAAUAUUCCAUUGGAGACUGAGCAGGCACUCCGAUGUACCUUGAAUGAUUAAGUGCUGUGCAUGUUGCCAUCUAACAACAAAGCAUUUGGUUUGCUCCUGCUUAGCCUCAACAUCUUUAACCAUCAUGGAAAAUGCAUCAAAGGUAUGUUGUGAUUCCAUUUCACCCCAGUCAAAAUGGUUAUGAUCAAGGAUAUAAAAAAAAUGAGGUGUUCAUAGCAAUGCUGGGAAAAUGGAUCUUAUUUAUUGUUUAUUGAAAUGUAAUUAAUGGG